rnacentral:rRNA from 1 species
AUUGAACGCUGGCGGCAUGCCUUACACAUGCAAGUCGAACGGUAACGGGCCUUCGGGUGCCGACGAGUGGCGAACGGGUGAGUAAUGUAUCGGAACGUACCUUUCAGUGGGGGAUAACGUAGCGAAAGUUACGCUAGUACCGCAUAUUCUGUGCGCAGGAAAGCAGGGGAUCGCAAGACCUUGCGCUGAUUGAGCGGCCGAUAUCAGAUUUGCUAGUUGGUGAGGUAAAGGCUCACCAAGGCGACGAUCUGUAGCGGGUCUGAGAGGAUGAUCCGCCACACUGGAACUGAGACACGGUCCAGACUCCUACGGGAGGCAGCAGUGGGGAAUUUUGGACAAUGGGGGCAACCCUGAUCCAGCCAUGCCGCGUGAGUGAAGAAGGCCUUCGGGUUGUAAAGCUCUUUCGGCCGGGAAGAAAUCGUAUCAGCUAAUACCUGGUGCGGAUGACGGUACCGGCAUAAGAAGCACCGGCUAACUACGUGCCAGCAGCCGCGGUAAUAC